UACGUAGGGUGCGAGCGUUGUCCGGAAUUACUGGGCGUAAAGAGCUCGUAGGUGGUUUGUCGCGUUGUUCGUGAAAACUCACAGCUUAACUGUGGGCGUGCGGGCGAUACGGGCAGACUGGAGUACUGCAGGGGAGACUGGAAUUCCUGGUGUAGCGGUGGAAUGCGCAGAUAUCAGGAGGAACACCAGUGGCGAAGGCGGGUCUCUGGGCAGUAACUGACGCUGAGGAGCGAAAGCGUGGGGAGCGAACAGG
rnacentral:rRNA from 1 species